rnacentral:lncRNA from 1 species
ACACAUGGGCAUGAAUAAUGGGCCAUAAACAGCAUACUGACGUGUAACAGAAUUAUGAUGGUUGAGACAUUUUUUGUAGUGUUUGUGACAUUUUUUUUCCUGCCAUGUCAGCUGCCACGUAGCAAGACCUACGAUUUUAUGACAAUAAAUCAAUGUCAUAUGCUUGUGACAUGAACCAAACAAAUGUCACAUAAUCAUUUUAUGACGCGGGCUUUUCCACGUUUUGAUUUUUGUCAACUUGAUGUCACAAAUCUUAAUUUGUAACAUAAAUUUCAUAUAUUGUGACAUAACUAAACGUUAAAAAGCCAUGUGUUUCUUUUAGUGGAAGACCGUAGCACCGAGGCAGGUGUGAAGAAAGAAGACAGUUAUACAUGAAGAGUACGUGCCGCCGGAACCACCGACUACGCCAUCCAGCAAAUCCCAGGACGACUGAGAAAACGGAGAGUCCCGUUCGGAGGACUUAAAAGCACCGAACGCCUUCCCAAGAGGUAAACUUGGUAGUUAUCUUUUUCCUUUCAAUUAUUUAAAAUAGUUUACAUAGUUAAUCAGGUUCAUAUCAUCUUGAAAAGAAAAUAAAAAUGUUAAAAAUAGUAAGCCCCAUGUGAGUAUGCUCAUGGCAUAAAACCCAUAAGUACAUUCACUGUGGUGGCGUAAAAAUAAAAUAAAUAUAUUCAUGUCCUAUAAAAAUGAAAAUAUAAAAAUAAAUUUAUGAUCCUACUAAAGAGAGUAACAUUUAUUGAGGAGGCUCAACAUGAUAAAGGUUAGAUACUUAUGCUAACACUUAACUAGUUUCAUAAAGCUUUGUUGUCUAUUUGAGCUCCACAGAAUUCAAUGAUCAAAGAAGACUAGCUGACGGAGGACAUCCUAAUCACCGUCAGGAUGCUGCUGACAUUCAAAUACAUCUCCGCCACCUGCUAGCUACAUCAGAAGAAAUUGCGUCAAAAUCCAGCUUGGGGGAGAGCACCCCCAUUUAUCCAGCUAAGUAUUCUACUCACGUUUAUACUUUACUCUAAUAAUAAAAAGAUGCAUAAUCAUAUAAACCCAAAUAAAGAUUUUGUGCUUAUAUAUAUAUCUUUGCUUAGUUUGCUAAAUAAAUAAAUAAAUAAAGUUUGCUAUGAACCCUCAUGAUAAUCUCUCAUAUGGAAAUGAUGAAUAGUUGCUCUACCAUGACUAGUUCUCAAAAUUGAAAUCUGUCUCAAGUUUAGGCAUGACUGUUAUUAAUUAAGAUUUGCUCUAAACCUGAACUUGUGGGAAGAGUACUUGAUCUAAAGUCUAAGUUGUUAACGGAUAUGAUAUGGGAAGGUUGAGCUGUUGUUUAUCUGUUCCUAGAGAUGCUAGAAUUCUGGAGAAUUUUAUCUUUGAAAAUCUUUAAAAUGUUGCAUGAUGAGUUCCUGUAUGAUGAGAGUUUAAAUUCCUACCACAGCCAUAUAUACAUGCUUGCUAGACUUUGAGCCACACAUUUAUUUUUUUUAUUGCUUAUGAGCAUUGAGUGUGGUCAAGCUUUGUAGACCCUUAGGAGCUUGUCAUGUGGUUAAAUCAAGGUUCACUUGCACGUUCACUCACACAUGCUGCUUCUACUCCGGAAGUAUGCAUCCACAUAUAUCCAUCCAUUUCCAUCUCCAGAACCACCUAAAAAUAUUCUACUCCUAAUCCGGGAGAGAAUAGCCAAAAAUAUUUCUGUUUUCCCCUGUGAAAUAAAUGCUCAAGUUAUCUCGUUACUACCACUUGCUAUAUUAUCUCAUGAAAUGAGUGCUCUAAAAAAAAGAAACAAAAAAAGAGAAGAUGCGAGGAAAUAAAAAGGGGCAAGUGCCCGGAACCUCAAAAAAAAAGUGAGACGAGAGGUAAAGAUGGACAAGUGUCUGACAGUAGAAUUAGGGGUACAAGAUACCCACCUGAGAGAAAAGGAAAAGAAAAUAUAGAGCAUCUCAUUCUCCUCAAAAGUUUCAAAAGAGCAAGGAAGGUAUGUAUCCCCUCAAAAGAGCAAAAGUAGAAUUAGACUUUCACCAUUCUUAUCACCAUCAUUACCAUGCAUCAUUCAUUCGCCACACAUACACAUCUUGAUUUGACUUAUUGAUUUGUUCUUCUGGAUCCAUGGUUUGACUAUGCAAUAAAUGUCUUGUAAGUAUGUAUUAGCUGUCUCCCACCUAUGAGCUCCAGAUAUCAAAACCUUAUUAGAGUAGGGUGAGAGAGAAGGCAAUGCCACUAUGCCCCAUACCAAAAAUACUACAUACUUUGAGAGAAGGCAUAUACCAUUACUGCCUUGGUAAGGAUCAAGAAAUACCACAAAAGAGAGAUUUGAGAGAGUCAUACAAGGAAUCUCUGAGUUUUAUUUGAAAAUCUGCAAAAACCCCAGAGCUAUAGCUGAUCAAGAAUAAGAGACAUGCCACUUGACUAGACCGUUCUAUCUUUUAACUGCUCAAGACACAAGUGACGGUUGCAAGCCCCAUAAUGGAAGGUACAAUGGGUAAGUUUAAAUCUUAACAGUUUACCCUAACCCAGAGAUGAGAUCUUGUUUGAACCCAUGUUCAUCUUUAAGGUAUGAAACCACUGCAGAAACUCUUGAGUUCAUCUUUGCUCAGGGACGAGCAAAGGUUAAGCUUGGGGGAGCUUGUUGACGGUCCUUAAUACUCACAUUGAACCAUCAACUAAUCAUAGAAAAGGAUCCAAAUGCAACCAACACCUAGACUUAGGGUUUUAUCUGAUAGAAUUCCACAAGUUUUGGUGUUUGUUUAUUUCUGCAGGGGGUUAUCAGGAAAUAAGGAAGAAAGGCCCACACGUUGGGUUUACGUAGAGAUAUUAACAUGCUGCGCAAUUUUCUACCAUCUAGAAGACUCCAGAAGCCACGGGAACGAACGGGAGGCCGAUCGGGCUCGGAGGCAGGGCGCCCGCCCAACUCUCCUGGGCGCCCGCCCAGCUACAGUGUCCAAUUCGGACCCGUUUCGCGUAUUAUGCUCCACCGACCUAAAGGAUCAAGGAAAACCACACGAUCAAUGUCGGUUUGAUCCGACGGCCCAGAUUCACUUGAAGGGACUAUAAAACCAGACCCCCCUGGCCCCUGGAGAGCAUACCUCUUCUACAGAAUCAAAGCUAGGGUUUCAAUUCUUCAUCCAAGUAGAGAGGAUCCCUCUAGUUCUUCUAGUUCUACCUCUAGUUCAUCUAGAUCUAGUUCUAGUUCCUCUAGUUCUAGUUCUAGUUAGUUCUAGUUGUAAUCUAGAAAAUAGGGAGAGAGAAGAGGAGAGCGGAGGAGGAGCCGGAUCUGUCGGAUCUUCCUCAACAUUGUACUUUUGCAGCAUCUAGUUCGUUCUUCAUCGUUCUCCAGGUUCUUCAAUUCAUAACUCCUGAGUUCUCUAAUUACUUUUAUUUACAUUCAAGUUAUUUAUUGGAUUUCCGCUUGCAUCAAGUGCUCUAAUCUUUGAAACAUUAGAGUAGUAAUUAAUAGAUUAGACGUGGUGUUUAGUUGUGCAAUUACCUGGAAUUGCACCCAAUCCUGCGGAUUGUUGUGGUAGCCUUUGGGUAGUGACAGCCCUAACGGUCGACGUAUUCCACCUUGUUCGGAUCGGUGUUUGUAGGACCGUAGUCGGAGCUUCCUAGCCCCCUUCUCAUCUCUUUCUGUGGUUAGUGUUCUGAUGUCCCGAUAUAGAUAAUCUUGAAGUAAUUCUUGAUUCUUAGAUCAACUAGAGAACUCUCAGGAAACUUCCUCUCUUCCCACCAAAAAUAAUCAUAAAGUUAUCCUUGGGCGAUCUUGGAUCUUAAUUAGUACACUCACGUUCCCUGUGGAAAAUCGAUACUCUGGAAUACUCCCGGCUGAAGGCUACAUCGGUAUCCGUGCGCUUGCGGAUUUUUCUGUUUGCGUUUAAAAUACCCAACAGACUCUCUUUCGAGACUAAACUCCACCGACCUAAUGGAUGAAUCUAAACCAUACAAUCAAUGUCGGUUUUAUCCAACGGCCCAAAUUCACUUGAAAGGACUAUAUAACCACGGCCUCUACACCCCUAGAAGAGAGGAGAAGAGAAGAAAUCAUUAUUCAGAGGUAGCCAUCACAGUUAGGGUUUAGAGCUUCUCUCCCACCGAGAAUUAGAAUUUCCUACUCCCUAAUCCUUCAAGUUUAGAGGUUUGAUUAGAUAGCAAUUAGAGAAGUAGAGCACUACGCUCUGUAUUCGGAUCUUCGGUAAUAAAGUUUGGUAUUAUUCAUAUCUUUCUCUAAUACUUUGUUCUAAUUACAUUAUGUCUUUAUUUAUUAUGUUCUUAGUUUGCUCUAGUUCUAUAUUUGAUAUAGUUAUGAUUGAUAAUGAGUUUAUGUAUAAGUUUGCAAAGCGCUUAGCUCUUGACGCGAGGGAGUUAAGUGGUAGAUCACAUAUGGGCGUGGUGCUUAGAUGUUAUUUACCUACAAAUGUAUCCUAUUGGCCGGGUCGUGUGGUAGUUCGCGAUAGUGACAGCUUCGUUGAUUCUUAUAUAGUCCACCCUCCGUUGAUAGGACAGGCAGAACUUGUAUUGCGGAGUAAGUCUUGCGAUGUUCUGAUUUACUUUAGCAAUGUUCCUUAUACAUGAAUGAAGAGUCUUUUAUGCUAUAUAUGAUCUUGUAGAUAACUAGAGUAGAUUAUGACUUAGUAGAUAGUAGAUAACUGAAUCCAUUCUCUAGCUAAUCCGACGUCACCUACAUAUAUGAGGAGUAGUCUAUUUUCUAAUCGCUGUGUUAUUUACCCUUGAACUUAUAAUUCAUUAUCAUUAUCUUUAUGGUUUACCCCCUGCCAAAGUAAGUGAUAGUGUGACGAGUUUCUCAUUAGUAAUCAUGUUCUUGCCAGUUUAUCUCUAGUCUAUGCCUUGAUAGAUUUUGCCCUUAUUUUAAUUUCAUCCCUUUUGUUCUCUUAAGCAAAAUUAUAAAUAACGAUACCUGGAAUACUUAUCCUGGUGAAAUGCUACAAUGAGGUGUUUUAUCUGUGCGCUUGUGAAUAGAAUAGAUUAUUUUUUAGAAAGCCUUUAUAUUUAUAAAUACCUUUGUACACUCUGGCACCAUGCUGGGGAUGACAACCUAGUAUCUAAGUGGUGUUAGCUAGUGUCAACAAGCAUUUCUAGCGCCGUUGCCGGGGAACAAAAGGGUAACACAUAGGAACGGUAAGGAAAGUCAGGAAAUCAGUCAAGGUUAUUCACAUAAAAUAUUAGACUAGACUAUAGAGAAAUAAUUGCAUAAAAUAGCUACUAAGUGAGAAAUCAUAACAAGGCACCUCUGCUUUGGCAGGUUCACCCUGUUGUUUUUCUAUGUUUAUAUUUUUAUACAGGGUACAUCAGGAUUGACUUUGGGUACAUUCAACUCUUCAUCAUCAGAACCAAAGCAAUCAAGAAAGAAAGAAGAAGCUAGCUACCAAUUGUUGAAGCUAUGGCACAGAAGACCCUACAAGAAUUCUCUGCUCCAAGUGUUGAGAACAUUCCAACUGGUCCAAGAUUUGCAGUAGAAGAAGGAGCACCUGAGUUCGAGCUCAAGUCAAGCCUCAUCAAUUUGGUACAAGCUACACAAUUCAGUGGAAAGGCACAUGAAGAUGCUAGUGCACACUUGCAGAAUUUCUUAGAGAUUGGAAGCACAAUCCACAUCAACGGAGUUGACAAAGACGUCAUACUGCUUCGCCUUUUUCUAUUCUCACUAGAAGGGAAAGCAAGGAAGUGGUUCUACACUCAUCAAGAUAACAUCAACAACUGGACAAACUUGUCAGAUGUCUUUCUAUCAAAGUUUUUCCCUAUAGGCAAAACAACUGCCUUAAGAAGAAAUAUUGUCAGUUUCCAACAGCAGAAGAUAGAAGCCAUUUUAGAAGCAUGGGAGCGUUUUCAAGGAUACAUUUCAGAUUGUCCUCACCAUGGAAUGGCCACAUGGUUACUUAUGCAGACCUUCUACCAUGGAUUAACCCAGAAGGCUCGUGAGUGCCUAGAUGCAUCUGCUAAAGGGGAGCUUACAACUGGAAAAGCAAAGAUACUUUUGGAUAAGAUAGCAGAAAACCAAAGCUAGUUCCAAGAUGAGGCUCAACAAUGUCAUCAAACUGAAGAAAUACCAAAAGAAGUAAAUGCAUUAUCAACUAAAAUGGAAAAUUUGCUCCAUUGGAUUGACCAGAGGACCAAGUUCAAAGAAGAUCAAAGGGCCAUAGAGACAUCAUACAAAUAUCAAACCACUUCAAGUCAACCCAAUAGCAAAGGUAUGAAUUCAGGUAAUACUUUCAAGCAACUUUCAUUAAAAGAGAUAAUUGCUCAACAAACUAAAAUUAAUGACAAAGUUAAACAAAGGCUAGAUGCAAAUGAAUCAUCUCUAAAAGAUAUACACAAUAAAAUGGAUUUUCUACUAACUGCCUUUGAUGAGCAAUUAAUAAGAGGGUAGAGCUUAAAUUAAUAAAGCUAGCUGCUGCACUGCCUGUUGCUACUAACAUUGAGCAGGUAAAGAACAUAACUACUAGAGGAGGCAAAGCCACUAGAGAUCCCCCAUACCCAAAAGAGAAACAAAUAACAUCAGCACCAUUGCAACUAGCAGUGACAGAAGAAGAAAGCCCAGUUGAAGCAGAAGAUAUGCUACAACCACCAAGAACUAGAGAAAUGAGGAAAGAUUUUUAUGACACCAACUAUUUGCCAUUUCCCAGAAGAAACAGAGGACUGCAGUCGGAUGAGCAGUUUGGUAAGUUUGUAGAGGUCAUUCAGAAAUUAUAUGUCAACAUACCUCUACUUGAUGCGAUACAGGUACCCACAUAUGCAAAGUACAUCAGAGAUAUUCUUAACAAGAAGAGACCACUCCCACCACUGAGGUUAUCCAGCUGACAGAAGAAUGUAGUGCGGCCAUCCUCAAUAAACCACCAAAGAAGAAGGAAGAUCCCGGAUGUCCCACUAUUGAUUGCUCAAUCGGAAACCAACACUUCAACAAUGCACUUUGUGAUCUCGGAGCAAGUGUCAGUGUGAUGCCAGCAUCAGUUUACAAAAAAUUUGAGCAUACGACCCUAGAACCAACAUCAAUGUGCCUGCAACUAGCGGAUCAAUCGGUUCGACACCCGUUGGGUAUCGCCGAGAACAUUCCAGUCAAGAUCAAAGAUUUUCUUGUGCCAGUAGACUUCGUAGUACUGGACAUGAGUCCUGACUCAAAAGUGUCCAUCAUCCUUAGAAGGCCAUUUCUGAGCACUCCCAAUGCCCACAUUGAUGUCGGGAAGGGAGAAAUCAAGUUCAACAUAAACGGACAAGAAGAACACUUCACAUUCAAACCCAGACCAGAGAGAGAUCCUACAGUGAAGGAAGUUCAUGAAGAACCACUGGAGACACCAUCUCCGGAGGAAGGUAAUUCAGAAGAUUAAAAGAUUUGGAGGUCCAGCUUGGGGAACCUAAAAAAUCCCAAACCCUCACCGGAAGGUAAAUCGGUAUUUAUCCGCAUCGUUAAUUCUUGCAUAAUUUAUUCUUGCAUUAGUCAUAUUUAUUCAUAGCAUUAUUAUAAUAAUAAAAAGCCCCAUAUAAAUAAUAUUCAUGGUGUGUAACAACCCAUAUUUAUUAACUAUUGUGGAGGCACAAAAAUAUUUCUCAUUUUGAUUUCAAUAAGUUUUAAUUCUCAAAGAUUUUUCUGCAUUAUAUUUAAUUAUAGUAACCUUCUAGAAGCAUGACCUACACUCCUUGGGUCCCACAUGUCAUACACCACACCUCACAUACAUCUCAUCACAUUAUUUGAUCCACCAACAUAUCUCCACUAACCAACACUUUUCCACUGGCCAACCACCACCCAUGAUCCAUUAUUUUGCGUGAGAGUUAAGCAAAGGAGGGAGUGGAGAAAGGGCAGCCAGGAUGGGCACCACAAGUGGGCGCCCACCCACCUACAGAGGGCGCCCACCCUGUCCCCUCUUCCUCCUAUAAAUAGCCACCUUCUACCUCCAUCCUCUCCACACAAGCACUCCAGAAAACCACACAAGUUUCAGUUUCCAGAGAAGGAGCUCUUGUAGUGAAGUGAGAAGAUAGUAGAGAAGAAGAGAAGAGUGGAAAAGAACUUGGUAGUUUUUGAGUGAGAGAGUGAGCUUCACCUAGUAAGUAGUGAUCCCGCUGUCCAAGCGGAAGUAAAAGUUGUUUAGGGGGAGGUUCUGCCAAAAUAGAAACUUGUCUUGAAUGACUAACCCCUGGACUACUGACAUCCCGGAUAGCUGACCACUAACAUUUUCUCUCACAUUUUCCACUAGUUGUGUUUUUGCCAACUUUGUUUACAGGAUGUUUAAGAAGGUGAAGAACGCAGGGAAGGCUCUCAAGAACAUUGGUACAAGGAGUUCAUCCCGACACUCCUCACACCCAUCAGAGAUGAGCGUCGACCCAACGCCUGCACAAGCUCCGUCAUCUUCAUCUAAUCAGCAAGUCAACGUCCUUCUCAAGAUAGGAGACCUUGGAGUAAAGACCCGAAGGGACAAGGAAGUCUAUCAGCAACUGAAGAACAAAGAUUUCAUUCACACGCCUACUCUUGAUCCAAUCUUACUACAAGAAACAGGUAUGGACACUGAAUUUGACUUAAUUUUCCAGAUGUUAGGUUGGACAAAUUUUUGGAAUAUAACUGAGCUGGGUUCUCGUCUUCUCACCAUCAAAUUUCUUUGCACUUUACAAUACUAUGAGGGGGGAAUUGUUUUUCGGAUGUUCAAACAGGAGAUUAUGUUGUCUUGGGAGCUGAGCGACCAUCUUGGUUUCUCUUCAAGAUGCAUCCUGAACAUUGACUCCGACUGUUGACACUUGCUAACACCACUUGAAUACUUGGUUGUCAUCCCCAGCGUGGCACUAGAGUGUACUAUGGUAUUUAUACGCACACAGAUAAUCCGCAAGCGCACGGAUACCGUUGAAGCUUUUACCCGGUUAAAGGUUUUAUCGUAUCCACAGGGAAACGGGAGAACUGAUCUACGCUCUAACUUAACCAAGAUAAGUAAAUAGGUGUGAAUAGGAAAGAUGGUAGAAUCGAAUAAGAACAAUAUUAAAGGUAAGAUAACAGUGAGUGAUAAUAUGGCAAUAGAGAGUAGAGCAAUUCUAGUAUAUGGGCGAUGGUAGCAGAAUAGAGAGGAUAACUAUGGUUUCUCUACUUCAAAGGGGUAUGUCUAUGUCUGGGACGAACCACGUGAUAAGAGUACACCACAAAGGAUGCUUAUCCAUAGGCCGAUAAACCCUACCCGUCCUGCUAACGAGAGGUGGACUACAGGGGACCAACGUAACUGUCACCUACGCGGCCUACCACACGAUCCAGCUAGUCAGGGGAUAUCCACAAGUAAUCUAGGUCUAAGCACCACGCUUACACCUAUACUACAACUCUAACCUAUAGGGUCCUAUAGAUUAGAAGUACUCAAAAGAGUUGUGAACCAGAACAUACAUGAUUAGUAAUUGCAUAAUGAAUUAGAAGUAGAUUACCAGAGUCAUCCCAUGAGCAAGCUUGAUUAGAGCUUGAUCAUGGCGAAGUACAACCGGAGGAAGAACCGACAGGCCGGCCUCUCCUCUAAUCCUCCUUCGCUCUCCAUCUCGCUACUAUCUAGAUCUACUCUAGUUUAGAGAAGAGAGGAGAGCUCUCAUCUCUAAACCCUAGCUUUUGCUCUGUGUAUGAAUAAUGAAUAAUGAUCAAGGGGUGCCUCCUCCAGGGGCCAGGGGGUCUGGUUUUCUAGUCCCCUCAAGUGAACCUGGGCCGUCGGAUCAAACCGACAUUGAUUGAACGGUUAUUCUUGAUCCUUUAGGUCGGUGGAGCAUAAUCCGCGAGAUUGAGCGUGAUUGGCCGAAAAAGGUGGGCGGGCGCCCUAAGGACUUGGGCGGGCGCCCUGUCCCUGACUCCGUUCGGUCUCCGCUUCCUUCCCGUGGCUUCUGGAGUCUUCUAGAUGUAAGAUAAUUGCGCGGCACGUUGAUAUCUCUAUGUAAUCCCGACGUGUGGGCCUUUCUUCCUUAUUUCCUGAUAACCCCCUGCAGAAAUAGACAAACACCAAAACUUGUGGAAUUCUGUCAGAUAAAACCCUAAGUCUCGAUGUUGAUUUCAUUUGGAUCCUUUUCUUUGUUUAUUUGAUAGUUAAAUUUGAUACUUAAGGACCGUCAACAAACUCCCCCAAGCUUACCUCUUGCUCGUCCCUGAGCAAGGAUAGACUCAGCUAUGGAUCAUAAGUUGUUGCAAUAUCUUUAAAAAAUUGACGGUACACAUGCUUUUAAAUGAGGUCUCAUCUCUGAGUUAGAGUAAACUGUCAAGACUUAAAACUUACUUACUUUACCUUUCACCAUGGGACUUGUAACCGUCACUUCUGUCUUGAGUGGUUAAAAGAUAGAACAGUCCAGUCAAGUGCCAUGUCGCUUAUUCUUGAUCAGCUAUAGCUCUGGAGUUUUUGCAGAUUUCCAAAUAAAACUCAGAGAUUCCUUUGUAUGACUCUCUCAUAUCUCUCUUUUGUGGUAUUUCUGGAUCCUUACCAAGGCAGUGAUGGUAUAUGCCUUCUCUCAAAAUAUGUGGUAUUUGUGGUAUAAGGGAUAGUGACAUUGUCUUCUCUCUCACCCUACUCUAAUAAGGCUUUAAUAUCUGGAGCUCAUAGGUGGGAGAUAAAAUAUACAUACUUACAAGACAUUUAUUGUAUAGUCAAACCAUGGAUCCAAAGAAAGAAAUCAAUUAGCCAAAUCAAGAUGUGCAUGUGUGGCGAAUGAAUAGUGUAUGGUGAUGAUGGUGAUAACAAUGGUGAAAGUCUAAUUCUACUUUUGCUCUUUUGAGGGGCUACAUACCUUCCUUGCUUUUUGAAACUUUAUGAGGAGAAUGAGAUGCUCUUCUUUUUCUUUUCUCUCAGAUGGGUAUCCUGUACCCCUAAUUUUACUGUCGGACACUUGUCCAUUUUUACCUCUCGUCUCACUCUUUUUCUUUUCUUUCGAGGUUCCGGGCACUUGCCCCUUUUUAUUUCCUCGUUUAUUUUUUUUUCUUUUCUCUUUUUUUUCUUCUUUUUUUAGAGCACUCAUCUCUUAAGAUAAUAUAGCAAGUGGUAGUAGCAAGAUAACUUGAGCAUUUAUUUCACAAGGGAAAAACACAGAUGUUUUUGGCUAUUCUCUCCCGAAUUAGGAGUAGAAUAUUUUUAGGUGAUUCUGGAGAUGGAAAUGGAUGGAUAUAUGUGCUUGGUACUUCCGGAGUAGAAGUAGCAUAUAUAUGAGUGAACGUGCAAGUGAAUCUUGAUUUAACCACAUGACAAGCUCCUAAGGGUCUACACAGCUUGACCACACUCAAUGCUCAUAAGCAGUAAAUAAUAAAUGUGUGGCUCAAAGUCUAGCAAGCAUGUAUAUCUGGCUGUGGUAGAAAUUUAAACUUUUAUCAUACAGGAACUCAUCAUGCAACAUUUUAAAGAUUUUUCAAAGAUAAAAUUCUCCAGAAUUCUAGCAUCUCUAGGAAUAGAUAAACAGCAGCUCAACAUUCCCAUAUCAUAUCCGUUAACAACUUAGAUUUCAGAUCAAGUUUUCAUCCCACAAGUUUAGAUCUAGAGCAAGCUUUAAAUUAUAACAGUUAUGUCUAAACUUGAGAGAGAACUUCAAAUUUGCAAAUUAGGCAGAGCAAUUAUUCAUCAUAUCCAUGCUAGAGUUUUAUUAUUAAGAUUCAGAUUAGCAUAGCCACUUUAUUUAUUUAUUAAACACACUAAGCAAAAGAUAUAUAUAUAUAAGCACAAAAUCUUUAUUUGGUUUUUCAUAGUUUAUGUAUUUUAAUAUUCUAAUAUAAUAUAAGUAUAAAGAUAGGUAGAAAUACUUAGCGAGAUAAAUGGGGGUGCUCUCCCCCAAGCUGAAUUUUGACGUAAUUUCUCUUGAUGUAGCUAGCAGGUGGCUGAGGUGUAUUUGAAAGUCAGCAGCAUUCUGACAGCGAUUAGAAUGUCCUCCGUCUGCUAGUCUUCAUGAUUCUUAAAUCCUGUGGAGCUCAAAUAGACAACAAAGCUUGUGGAACUAAUUAAGUGUUAGCAUAAAUAUCUAGCCUUCAUCACGUUGAGCUUCCUCAAUAAAUAUUACUCCCCGUUUUUAUAUUUUUAUUUUAUAAAGUAGAAAAGAAAUAUUUAUUUUAUUUUUAUGCCACCACAGUGAAGGUACUUAUGGGUUUUAUGCCACUCGUAUACUCACAUGGGGCUUAGUAUUUUUUAACAUUUUUCUUUUCUUUUCAAGAUAGCAUGAUUAACUAAUAAUCUAUUUAAGGAAAGUAAAUAAUUAAAUGGAAAAGGGAAUGCAGAAAGGAUAAAUAUGGAUAACUACCAAUCUUACCUUUUGGCGAGGGUUCAAUGUUUUAAGUCUUCUUGUCAAGACUUCUCAUCGUGUUCAUUCUUCAGGUGCGUCAUUUGAUUCAGGUGCGGACCUUGACGUCUGCACCUUUUAAUACGGUGUCACCCAUGUUCUUCGUUUGCCCAGCAGUUCGAAGUGCGGUGUUAGCAGUAUCUUGCUCAGUGUGUUUGUGCUCGUAGUGUACCUGCUCAUAGAGACAAGGCAUAGAUCAAGUGCAUGGGCCCUGUUGGUGGAAAACACCAACAGAACCAAAAGUGUAUUUGUUCUUCUCUAACCUUAAGCAUAGUGAGCAAGACAAGUUGAUGGAUGAUAAGUUCAUGAGUGUAGCACUUAUAACAUUUGUCAGAUCAGAUCGCUCAACCUUAUGGAAAGAUAAUCUAUCUAUGUAUAUGUCUUUUUCUUUAUAUCUCUCAAUGAUUGAAUGUGUAACAUUUUAGCUCAUAUGAUUAGGAGUGUGGGAUCAUGGAGGUAGUACUAAGAACAAGGAUUAAAGGACUAAACAUGUUGAAUCAGUUGGGUUGGUUAAUCUAGAGUUGUAAAUCAUACACGUUUGUCUCUUUUAUUUAUAUGAACGCCAGAACCAAGGAGAAGCUUAUAAAAGAGAUAGUCAAGUACCUUAAGAUGUUACCUUGCUCGAAGAGUGAUGGUACAGUAUCAUCUUGUGGAAGCUUUCCUUUCUUAGCGGUUGUGCGUCGUGUUUGUGGCACCCUCCAUGGAUCAUCUCUCUAUGAUGAAUGAGCUAUGUCCUUCUUGUGCAAAUUGUUAAACUUCAUGUGUCACUCUCUUCGUCUCUGAUGUGAGUUUAUCUCAGGACUUCCCAAAUUGAUAUUGAAAUUUUUUCUGCAGGGGUUAGUCCGACAAAAUAUACCAAUAUCUACUCAAGCAGUUUUUUUUAGUUCAAUAACCAAACUAGACUCCAUGUCUAAUCAGAUUAAGGAAGGCUAUUUAACCUAAGCACCAUGCUUAAUUUAAAUGCCAAUGGAAGUAUGGCGAGUACUUCCAAACCAACACUUGCUAGUAAAUAGAUAAAGGUAGCAUGACAGCGUUUAUAGAGAUCUACUCAAGUAGAGAUGAAGUAGUGUGAUUAGUAUUUAACAAAUUGAGCAUGUCUCAAAGGUAGGGACAACCAGCAUAGCAACAUGGCAAAGGAUGUUUUUAUGUAAAGUACUCCCCCAAGCUUGAAUUUUGCAAAAUUCAAGUUUGGAUGAAUUUAAUUCAAUGUUGUAUGAUGAUUGGUUGGACAUACCUUGUGCUUGUCAUUCAUCCGAUCUUCUUGCUCCAAUCUUAGAAAGGUUAGUGACAUGAAUACCCGAAGGAAUAUUUUUUUUACAAUUAUCCUUAUAUGCUCAAUACACAAGGUAAUGUUGCAAAUAAUUAAAGGCUCAUGUUACGAUCUGAUCAAUGCUUAUUUUAAGACACUAAGCUUGUCCUUGGGAAACCAUCAGUUUAUGUUGGCGAAGUGGUUUCCCCUCCGACGCCAACCUAUAUCUAGAUCAACUCAACGAGAUCUGCAAUAUUUAUUAUAGACAUAUGCAUCGACAACCGCCCUUUUAAAGUUUUUAUAAAUAGAAAGGAAGAGGGGGUUGGAGAUCUCAAGUUUGGUGAUGUCGGAGAGACCAAUAGAUUGGGAAGAUGUUGCAUAUGAGCAUGGAGUAAACGAAGUGGCUAUGAAAUAAAUUCCAUGCUCAUUAAUGUUAUCUUCGUCUCUAAUCUGAAUGUUCGGAGUUUCUCCUGGAUUGGUCUCACCUAUGUCCUCUUCUGUAGUUGGAUGAAUCUCAUCUUCAAAGGGAGUCAAGAACUCACCAUUUGAAAUGGAGCCAAAGUCAGAACCUAUUAAGGCUUCUUCCUUAUCCAUCCAUUCUACACAUUCUAGCCAUUUAGAACUUGUGAUCAAAAUAGGGGAGGUGUUAGAAUUUUCUAUAUGGCUUAGCUCUCCUUCUAUGGCAUUACUUGACAUGCCAUCCUUAUGGUCUUCAUGACUCCUAUGGUUUGGUCGUCUUGGUGAAUUGCUAGGAUCAUCAUGAGACUGAAAAGAAGAGGGAUAAGAGGGAUCUCUAAGGUCAAGGAUGGAUUUAGAACUUGUGAACAUGGAAGGGGAGUAGAUAGAAUUGUCUAUAUGGCUUAGCUCUCCUUCACUUGAUAUGUCAUCCUCGACUUCUUCAUGAUAGAAACCAGGACAUUCUCUAAGAGAAACAUUAUUGCAAUGAUUUGAAUUAUCCCUGCUUGAAGGUCUCUUAUAGAACCAGAAGUCUAAACCAUCAGCAUCUAAAAGAUUUAAGGUCGGAAUUCCUUCCUCCCUUGGAGAAUUUUGGGGUAUUGAUGGUUUAGGAUCGAUAGCUAAAGUUUGGGAUUGAAGUGGUUGUGAUCUGGCUAUCGAAACUUCUUCUUCUUGUCUAGGAACUGGUUCUUUCUCUUUCUCAGGGAUAUAAAAGCUAGGAGACUUUCCGCUCAUUAAAUCAAUCAAAUUCCAAGCUUCACUAGCGGAUAGGUGGUGGAAAGAUCCUCCAGAGGCCGCAUGAAGGGUUUGCUUAUUUUUCCUACUAAGGCCCUCAAAAAAGUGAAUUAGAAGAACUUCUUCUCGAAUAGAAAGUUUUGGGCCAGUGAGAGUAAGGUUAAUAAAGCGGUCCCAUGAUUUGCCAAGAGAUUCUUCUUCCAGUUGUCUAAAAGAAAGAAUCUCACGCCGAAGUUCCACCACUUUAGAGAUUGGAAAAUAUUUAGAAAGAAAACUACUAUAUAACUCCUUCCAAUCUCAAUGAACACUCCCUACUUUGAGUUUAUACCAAUGUCUAGCUUUUCCCGUUAAAGAGAACGGAAAGAGCUUCCAUUUAAGGGUCUCAUCGGACAUGCCUUCUAUGCGAAGGAGGUCACAGACUCGAUAAAACUCUCUUAGGUGUGUGUAUGGGUUUUCCUCACCUUUUCCUGAGAAAGGUUGUUUUUGAAUAAAUUCUAUGUAUUCGGGGUCUAUCUCAAAACUAGAUGCUAUGAUAGGCUUUGAAGAUUUUGGUGGUUCGAGAUGUGUGCCCAUAGGUCUAUGAAAUUCAUAGAUAGACAUGUUUGAAUUCAUAAUAGACCAGAGAUCAAGGAUUAGAUAAGAAGAAAGAAUAGCAGAGAUGAGGCAAAGGAUAAAAGGAAAAUAUUUUUUUUAUUUAUUUUUUAUAAAAUGAUUAAACUAGUUCGUAGUCAACUCAGCAACCUUUUCCCCGGCAACGGCGCCAAAAAUGCUUGUUGACACUUGCUAACACCACUUGAAUACUUGGUUGUCAUCCCCAGCGUGGCACUAGAGUGUACUAUGGUAUUUAUACGCACACAGAUAAUCCACAAGCGCACGGAUACCGUUGAAGCUUUUACCCGGUUAAAGGUUUUAUCGUAUCCACAGGGAAACGGGAGAACUUAUCUACGCUCUAACUUAACCAAGAUAAGUAAAUAGGUGUGAAUAGGAAAGAUGGUAGAAUCGAAUAAGAACAAUAUUAAAGGUAAGAUAACAGUGAGUGAUAAUAUGGGAAUAGAGAGUAGAGCAAUUCUAGUAUAUGGGCGAUGGUAGCAGAAUAGAGAGGAUAACUAUGGUUUCUCUACUUCAAAGGGGUAUGUCUAUGUCUGGGACGAACCACGUGAUAAGAGUACACCACAAAGGAUGCUUAUCCAUAGGCCGAUAAACCCUACCCGUCCUGCUAACGAGAGGUGGACUACAGGGGACCAACGUAACUGUCCCCUACGCGGCCUACCACACGAUCCAGUUAGUCAGGGGAUAUCCACAAGUAAUCUAGGUCUAAGCAACAUGCUUACACCUAUACUACAACUCUAACCUAUAGGGUCCUAUAGAUUAGAAGUACUAAAAAGAGUUGUGAACCAGAACAUACAUGAUUAGUAAUUGCAUAAUGAAUUAGAAGUAGAUUACCAGAGUCAUCCCAUGAGCAAGCUUGAUUAGAGCUUGAUCAUGGCGAAGUACAACCGGAGGAAGAACCGACAGGCCGGCCUCUCCUCUAAUCCUCCUUCGCUCUCCAUCUCGCUACUAUCUAGAUCUACUCUAGUUUAGAGAAGAGAGGAGAGCUCUCAUCUCUAAACCCUAGCUUUUGCUCUGUCUAUGAAUAAUGAAUAAUGAUCAAGGGGUGCCUCCUCCAGGGGCCAGGGGGUCUGGUUUUAUAGUCCCCUCAAGUUAACCUGGGCCGUCGGAUCAAAUCGACAUUGAUUGAACGGUUAUUCUUGAUCCUUUAGGUCGGUGGAGCAUAAUCCGCGAGAUUGAGCGUGAUUGGCCGAAAAAGGUGGGCGGGCGCCCUGUCCCUGACUCCGUUCGGUAUCCGCUUCCUUCCCGUGUCUUCUGGAGUCUUCUAGAUGUAAGAUAAUUGCGCGGCACGUUGAUAUCUCUAUGUAAUCCCGACGUGUGGGCCUUUCUUCCUUAUUUCCUGAUAACCCCCUGCAGAAAUAGACAAACACCAAAACUUGUGGAAUUCUGUCAGAUGAAACCCUAAGUCUCGAUGUUGAUUUCAUUUGGAUCCUUUUCUUUGUUUAUUUGAUAGUUAAAUUUGAUACUUAAGGACCGUCAACACCGACCUACCUUACUUUGAGAGACACCAGUUUUGGAGAGAAAUAUCUAGAGAUAAUUUUUAUAGUCAAGCCCGAACCAGUGACAUGGAACACCCCACUCUUAGGAUGUUCCACAAAUGGCUUGGGUACAAUUUUUUCUAUCGUGAUGAUAUUAGGAAAGUAAGAGUAGGAGAUUUGCAACUUCUAUAUGCUGCUAUUAAUAAAGUACCCACUUCACUUGUUACACUUAUAGGUUCUCAUUGGCUUAGUGUACCUAGUGUUUAGGGACCAGUAGGAUGUACUUCACUUAUCACUUGUCUAGCCUCUAAUCUUCACUUACUAGAAAACUCGUUGUUGGACUUCAUAGAUGAGUUAAGAAUUUAUCAUGGCUAUGACACAUUUAGACAAGCUCGGAUGUUAAAGAAAGAGGGGAACAUAAUGUAUAUGCUAUAUGAUGAUAAAGGCAAGAUUCGGUUACCUAACCCGAACCUUGGCCUAUACGUUGUUCAAAAUUUUGUGAUUGAGAUUGCAGCAACACCGGUGAACCAGAGAGCUCCACAACGAGUGGCAUCUGAAAGGAUGACCACCCAUCAAGAACGCACCUGGUAUGGAGCUGAUCCCGGACCAGAAGAAGCAGCGCACCUGCAUUAUCGUGACUACAACCCCCGAGUCCUUCGAGACCCAUGGGUUCGACAUGCGCAACCACAAGAGCCAACACAGGAGACAUGGCCGGAGAGCCAAGAUCACCAGUGGACAAACCCGCCUUUUCAUACGGGCAGGUACUCCACUGAUCCAUAUGGAGCUUCAAGAUCUAGACCUCCGCCCCAAUUCGAUGCAGGACGAUACUCCGACGCCUCCUACGCUUUCACGAACGACUACUAUCAAGAGGCCAACGCUUUCUUCAACUGCACCGACAACACCCUCCUCGACAUCCAGAACACACAAGCAGAACAUGGACGACUCCUGGAAGAGCAACAAAAAUGGAACCAGGACCAUGCCGCUGCAGUACAAGAGCUGAGACAAGAUACAACAACAAUGAACGACAACAUCACAACCAUGAUGCAGUUCUGGAACAUCGGGUAAGACGGACAUCAACAUCCAGCUUGGGGGAGUCCCUCCCCAAUUUAUCAAGUAAGUUUUUAUUUGCUUUUCUUAUUUAUUCUUUUUUGUUUUAGUGUUUUAUUUAUCUUAUAGAGAAAAACAUAGAAAACCCAAUAAAUAUUUUCUUGCUUUAAUUUACCGCAUUCUAUAAACAUGAAAACAAAAUAAAAAGAGUAUAAGUGUGCUUUAUUUUUCUGCUAAGUAUUAAUCUCUAGAAAAAAUAAAAAGACCAAAAAGAUGUAUGAUAGAAAUGACGAAUAGUUGCUCUGUUUGCUUAGUUUCAAGUACCUAGCUUUUAUAUUAGAGUUCUUCUAGGAAUUACUAAAACUGAAUUUACUAUCUAUGGGAAACAUAAAACUAAAGACUAGGUAAGAGAAAGGCAUAAUAUAAAGUUUGAGCUGCUGUUUAUCUUGUUUCUACCACACUAAGUUCUGGAGAUUUAUUUUGGAAACUUACAAAUCACAUGAUGAGUUCCUAGCAUAACAAACUACCUACGACAACCAUACUUCCUAUAACGUCUUUUACUAUAUUCACAUUGAGUUUGAUCGAGCUGUGUAGACACUUAGGAGCUGUUCAUGUAGUUAAAUUAAGAUAUUCAUUUGCACACAUCUACUACACCAUCCACCACCAUCUAUUAAAAUUGCUAAAAAUAUUAUCACUCACUGUGCCAAGUAUUGUUACUCUCUCUCUAAAAAGAUUCAAUGCAGAAGAGGCAUGGGUUAUGCAAAAAAUAUGCGAGGAAAUAAAAAGGGGCAAGUGCCCGGAACCUCGGAAAAGAAAGAAAAAGAGUGAGACGAGAGAUAAAAAUGGACAAGUGUCCGGAGUAGAAUUAGGGGUACAAAGAUGCCCACUUGAGCGGAAAAAAUAGACAAGUGUCCGACAGUAGAAUUAGGGGUAUCUACUACCCACCUGAAAAAAAGAGAAAAAGAUAGCCCAUGUUCUCCCAAAGCAAAGAUCAAAGAAGAGAAGACAUAGCAAUAUGAGGAGCAAUGAGAACUAAGUUUUAUUAUCACAUUAUUACCAUCAUUUACUCCAUCACACAUGCACAUCUUAAUUUAAUUAUAUGCUAAGUUCCUUUGGAUUCAUGGCUCGAUUAGACAACAUAUGUAUGAGCUGUUUUUCACUCCUAUGAGUGCCACUUAAAUAUUCCAUUAGCUAUAGGUAAGUCACAUUUUGGUAAGGAUCCACAAAUACCACAUAUAGAGUGACUUGAGAGAUCAUUGCUGGGACUCUGAGUUUUAUUUUUAACUUAUGCAAAACACUGGAACAAAGGUGAAGUAUAGAUAGGAGGAAUAGUGCUUGACUUAAUUAUUUUGUCUUUCAAUUACUUAAGACUCUAGUGCAGGUACUAAGCUCCAUGAUACUUCACUCUAAUCUGAAAGAAUUUUUUAUAUAAAAGCAUGUGUGCCUGUCAAGAAAGAAAACAUCGAAGCAACUCCUGAUCCAUCUGAGUUUAUCUAUGUGCUCAGGGACGAGCAAUGGGUAAGCUUGAGGGAGUUUGUUGACGGUCCUUAAGUACUAAAAUUAACAAUCAAAUAAACAUGGAAAAGGAUCAAUAUGCACCAAACAUCUAGAAUUAGGGUUUUAUCUGACAGAAUUCCAUGAGCUUUGGUGUUUAUCUAUUUCUGCAGGGGGUUAUCAGAGAAUAUGGAGAGAAGGCCCACAUGUCAUGUUUACAACGAGAUAAUUUUCCUCAAUCUAGAAGAGUCCAGUGUUGAUAUUUAGUAACGCAAUAAGGAAAUGAUCCGCAAGCGCACGGAGGUUAUCCAGAGUUAUCGUAUUUAUAUUUUUACCACUGGGAGAAAGGGUGCAUCUGACUAACCAAAUCUAUUGCUACUAUCCCUUUAGGCUACAAAGAAUGUUUCUCGAUGUGAGCGAUGUAUAGAGAAGACUGCAACCGUAGUCUCGUUCUAACCUUGGUAAGGAUGAUCUACUGUUCUAUUGGGGAGGCUCACGGAAUCUAGACAACACAAAGGAUGUUCGACCCGCACCUAUAAACCUACCCGUCCUGCUAACAAGAUAUGGGAUACAAAGGUAACUCGGAAAUGUCACGUUCCUCGCUACUACCACGGUCCUGCUAGUCAGGGGAUAUCUAUGAGUACCCUAGCCUAAACACCACGUUUACGCUAGCAAUGAUUACUCUAAUACUCAACCGGAAGAGGAUUAAAGUAAACUCAUAAACCAAAGAACAAUAAAACAAGAACUUACAAGAAUUAGAAGUCGAAUUACUGAAGAAUCUUAGAAGCAAGCCUUAGGUUAGGAGACUUGAUCCCGCAGGUACAACUCGAAGUAGACACCGACAGGUCGGCCUUCCUCCGAUCUACACCUCCACUCUAUCUCUCUCAAUCUAGUAGAAACUAGAAGAUCUAUUUCUACUUACAUUGGUUGCUAAGCCUAAAAAGAAAUAUUAUUUAGAGAAGAGGUUUUCCUUCGAGGGCACCCCUCAAUCUCUAUGAUAACUUCUUGUCUUCUCCAGGGGCCAGGGGGGUCUCCUUAUAUAGUCCUCCUCCUCUAUGCGUUUUUGGGUCGGUAGGCGAGGUGGUACUAUGUUUUCCUUGAUCCAAUAGGUCGGUGGAACGUCGUGUGCGAAGAGAGUCCCGAAGGGCUUCCAGAGGUGGGCGGGCGCCCAGGUCACCAGGGCGGGCGCCCUGGGCCUUGCCCCUUUCGGCCUCCGCUUAGUUCCCGUGGCUUCUGGAGUCUUCUAGAUGGUAGAAAAUUGCGUGGUGCGUUGAUAUCUCUAUGUAAUCCCGACAUGUGGGCCUUUCUUCCUUAUUUCCUGAUAACCCCCUGCAGAAAUAGACAAACACCAAAACUCAUGGAAUUCUGUCAGAUAAAACCCUAAGUCUAGAUGUUGAUUUCAUUUGGAUCCUUUUCUUUGUUUAUUUGAUAAUUAAAUUUGAUACUUAAGGACCGUCAACAAACUCCCCCAAGCUUACCUCUUGCUCGUCCCUAAGCAAGGAUAGACUCAGCUAUGGAUCAUAAGUUGUUGCAAUAUCUUUAAAAAUUGACGGUACACAUGCUUUUUAGAUAAGAUCUUAUCUCUGAGUUAGAGUAAACUGUCAAGACUUAAAACUUACUUACUUUACCUUUCACCAUGGGACUUGUAACUGUCACUUCUUUCUUGAGAGGUUAAAAGAUAGAACAGUCUAGUCAAGUGCCAUGUCUCUUAUUCUUGAUCAGCUAUAGCUCUGGGGUUUUUUGCAGAUUUUCAAAUAAAACUCAGAGAUUCCUUGUAUGACUCUCACAGAUCUCUCUUUUGUGGUAUUUCUGGAUCCUUACCAAGGCAGUGAUGGUAUAUGCCUUCUCUCAAGAUAUGUGGUAUUUAUGAUAUAAGGCAUAGUGACAUUGCCUUCUCUCUCACCCUACUCUAAUAAGGCUUUAUUUGGAGCUCAUAGGUGGGAGAUAAAAUAUACAUACUUACAAGACAUUUAUUGCAUAGUCAAACCAUGGAUCCAGAGAAACAAGUCAAUAAGUGAAAUCAAGAUGUGCAUGUGUGGUGAAUGAAUGGUGUAUGGUGAUGAUGAUGAUAAUAAUGGUGAAAGUCUAAUUCUACUUUUGCUCUUUUGAGGGGAUACAUACCUUUCUUGCACUUUGAACCUUUUUGGGGAGAAUGAGAUGCUCUAUAUUUUCUUUUUCUUUCCUCUCAGGUGGGUAUCUUGUACCCCUAAUUCUACUGUCGGACACUUGUCCAUUUUUACCUCUCGUCUCACUUUUUCUUUUCUUCGAGGUUUCGGGCACUUGCCCCUUUUUAUUUCCUCGUAUUUAUUAUUUUUUUCUUUUUUUUACUAGAGCACUCAUCUCCUGAAAUAAUGUAGCAAGUGAUAGUAACCAAAAUAAAUGGAGCAUUUAUUUCACAGGGAAUAACAGAAAUAUUUUUGGCCAUUCUUUCCCGGAUUAGGAGUAGAAUGUUUUUUUUGGGUGGUUCUGGAGAUGGAAAUGAGUGGAUAUAUGUGGAUGGUACUUCUGGAGUAGAAGUAGCAUGUAUGAGUGAACGUGCAAGUGAAUCUUGAUUUUAACCACAUGACAAGCUCCUAAGGGUCUACACAGCUUGACCACACUCAAUGCUCAUAAGCAGUAAAAAGUAAAUAUGUGGCUCAAAGUCUAGCAAGCAUGUAUAUAUGGCUGUGGUAGGAAUUUAAACUCUCAUCAUAUAGGAACUCAUCAUGUGUUAUUUUAAAGAUUUUUCAAAGAUAAAAUUCUCUAGAAUUCUAGCAUCUCUAGAAACAGAUAAACGGCAGCUCAACCUUCCCAUAUCAUAUCCGUUAACAACUUAGACUUUAGAUCAAGUACUCUUCCCACAAGUUCAGGUUUAGAGCAAAUCUUACUUCAUAACAGUCAUGCCUAAACUUGAGAGAGAUUUCAAUUUUAAGAACUAGUCAUGGCAGAGCAACUAUUCAUCAUUUCCAUGUGAGAGUUUAUCAUGAGGGUUCAUAGCAAACUUUAUUUAUUUAUUUAUUUAGCAAACUAAGCAAAAAUAUAUAUAUAAAAGCACAAAAUCUUUAUUUGGGUUUUUAUGAUUAUGCAUCUUUUAUUAUUUGAGUAAAGUAUAAACGCGAGUAGAAACACUUAGCUGGAUAAAUGGGGGUGCUCUCCCCCAAGCUGGAUUUUGACAUAAUUUCUUCUCAUGUAGCUAGCAGGUGGCGGAGGUGUAUUUGAAUGUCGACAGCACCGUGACAACGAUUAGGAUGUCCUCCGUCUGCUAGUCUUCUUUGAUCCUUGAAUUCUGUGGAGUUCAAAUAGACAACAAAGCUUUGUGGAACUGGUUAAGUGUUAGCAUAAAUGUCUAGCCUUUAUCAUGUUGAGCCUCCUCAAUAAAUGUUAUUUAUUUACCAGGAUCAUGCACUUAUUAUUUUUAUAUCUUUAUUGUAAGAUGAAAACAUAUUUAUUUUAUUUUUAUGCCACCACAGUCAAUAUACCUAUGGGUUUUUAAACCACAAGUCUACUCACAUGGGGCUUACUAUUUUUUUUUAACAUUUUUAUUUUCUUUUCAAGAUAGCAUGAACCUGAUUAACUAAGCAAACUAUUGAAUGGAAAAGGAUAACUACCAAGUUUAUCUCUUGGCAAGGCGUUCGGUAUUUUUAAGUCCUCCGAACGGGACUCUCCGUUUUCUCAGUUGUCCUGGGAUUCGCUAGGUGGCGUAGUCGGUGAUUCUGGCGGCACCUCUCUUCGUGUAUAACUAUCUUCUCCCUCCACACCUGACUCGGUGCUACGGUCUCCUCAGGACAGUUCUGUUCAAGCUAUAUGUCUUCAGUCCUUAUCACUUCUCCUUCGUAGUCUACCCAUCCGUUCUUGAUGAUUUGCCUCCUCUGGUUACGGUUGCGUCGUCUUCUUGUCCUGACCUGCUUAGAGUCUUCAACUAUAUAGUUAUGGUCAGUAAAAUAGUUGCGUACCUUCUCAGAGGGGAAGUACAUAUGGACUUCUCCGGUUCUAAUGUAGAUGAUUGCUUUGAUAGUGUUGAGGAACGGUCUUCCAAGGAUGGUGGGUGGAUCAUACUCGUCUUCUCCCAUGUCAAUGACCUAAAAAUCAUCUGGAGCUGAAUAUAUUGGUUGUAGGGGCAUGGUUCUAUGCAGGAGCUGAUAAGUGACUGCGGCCAUUAUGUUGUCGUCAGAUCCGGUGUCGUAGAGUGUCUUCUGAAAAAAAGUGUAUCUGUUGAUUGUGCACUCAAUGCUUGGAACAUCAGGGUCGUCCUUCUUGAUCAAGAAAGGUGACUCGAGUCGACAAUCUUGACCUCCUUGAGCUGCAGUGACCAUCUCAGCUGACUCGGUCCACAUUUGCUUGUUCUUGUUCCUCCUGUUGGUCCUCUUCCUUGGUUCAUAUCAGGAUUGCUCUGAAGUUUGUGUAGUCUUGUUCUUGAAGGAAAGUAUCCUUCUUCCCCUUGAUGUAGAGACUGAUCUUGGCAGCAUUAGCGUAGAUGACAGCUCUGGUGUUUAGGAAUGGCCUCCCUAAGAUGAUGGGUGCCCUCUCCUCAGUACCAGUCUCUAUCACCAUGAAGUUUGCUGGAGCGUACAAGGUACCAACUCGGACACAGAGGUUCUUCAAUAUUUCCUUUGGGAAACUAAGUGUCUGAUCUCCAUUGUGUUUGUGCUCGUAGAUCCCGGUUCUUCACUUGGUGGAAUCUGGGAGUUGUAAAACUCCUCCAUGUUUUGCUUGAAGUGUACCUAUUCAUAGAGACAUGGCAGAGAUCAAGUGCAUGGGCUCUGUUGGUGAAAAACACCAACAGAACCAAAAGUGUAUUUGUUGUUCUCUAACCUUAAGCAUGGUGAGCAAGACAAAGUUAAUGGAUAAUAAGAUCAUGAGUGUAGCAUUUGUCAGAUCAGAUGGCUCAACCUAAUGGAAAGAUAAUCUAUCUAUAUUUAUGUUUUGUUUAUAUCUUCCAAAGAUUGAAUGUGCAAUAUAUUAGCUUAUAUGAUUAGGAGCGUGGGAUCACGAAGGUAGUACUAAGAACACAGAGUAAAGGACUAAACAUGCUAAAUCAGUUGGGUUGGUUAAUUUGGAGCUACAAAUCAUACAUGUUUGUCUCUUUAUUUAUGUGAAUGUUAGAACCAAGGAGAAGCUUAUAAAAGCAAUAGUCAAGUACCUUAAGAUGUUACCUUACUUGAAGAGUGAUGGUACAGUAUCACCUUGUGGAAGCUUUCCUUUCUUAGCGGUUGUGCAUCGUGUUUGUGGCGCUCUCCAUAGAUCAUCUCUUUAUGAGCUAUGUCCUUCUUGUGCAAAUUGUUAAACUUCAUGUGUCUCCUUUAUCUCCAAUGAGUUUAUAUCUCAGGACUUCCCAGGUUGAUAUUGAAAGUUUUCCUACAGGGGUUAGUCCAACAAAAUAUCCCAUAUCUACUAUAGCAUACUAUCGGCUCAAAAAUCAACCUAGACACCAUGUAUAAUUUGAUUUAGAAGGGCAUUUUAACCUAAGCACCAUGCUUAAUUUAAAAGCCCUUGGAAGUAAGAUCAUCAUUCCUAAACUAAGCACCAUGCUUAAUUAAGAGAUAAAUGAAACUAUUCCAAACCUAGACAUAUACUAAAGCAAAUAAAGGUAGCAUGAGAGCAUUUAUAGAGAUCUACUUAAGUGGAGAUGAAGUAGUGUAAUUAGUAUUUAACAAAUUGAGCAUAUCUCCAACAUAGCAACAUGGCAAAAGAUGUUUUUAUGUAAAGUACUCCCCCAAGCUUGAAUUUUAUAAAAUUCAAGUUUGGAUGAAUUUAAUUCAAUGUUGCAUGAUGAUUGGUUGGACAUACCUUGUGCUUGUCAUUCAUCCGAUCUUCUUGCUCCAAUCCUAGAAAGGUUAGUGGCAAGAAUACCCGAAGGAAUAUUUCUACAAUUAUCUCAAUAUGCUCAAUACACAAGGCAAUGUUGCAAAUAAUUAGAAGUUCAUGUUAUGAUGUAAUAAGUGCUUGUUUAAGGACGCUAAGCUUAUCCUUGGGAAACCAUCAAGUUAUGUUGGUGAAGUGGUUUCCCCUCCAACACCUACCUAUAUCAAGAUCAACUCAACGAGAUCUGCAAUAUUUAUUAUAGACAUAUGCAUCGACAACCGCCCUUUUAAAGUUUUUAUAAAUAGAAAGGAAGAGGGGGUUUGAGAUCUCAAAUGUGGUAAGGAUGGAGAGACCAAUUGAUUGGGGAGAUGUUUUAUAUGAGCAAGGAAUUGGUAAGGUAUUUAUGAAAUAACUUCCAUGCUCACUGUUGUUUCUCUCAUUCUCAAACUCCAAGGAUGAUUCUUCACGAAUGCUUAAAAUUCCUCUAGGAUUGUCUCUCAGGUUUGUUUUAUCUAUCCAUUCAAUGGUGAUAGCACAUGGAUUUUUAAUGCCCUCUAGCCAUCGAUGUUGCUCUUCUCGAUCCUCCUUCUUAUGCAUGGGAUGUCUAGAAAGAUUCAUAGGAUCAUCAAGAGGUUCAAGAGAAAGAGUGUAGUAGAAAUUAUUAGGCUCAAGGAUGGGUUUGAUAGCCGAAUCAUGGGAUUGAAGUGUUUGGAAAUUGGCUAUUGAAACUUCCUCUCCUUGUAUGGGAGAUGAUUCCUUCUCUAUCUCUAAGAUUUUUCUAUGAAGACUAGUACAAGAAGGAUGUCCACGAAUGAAGACAUACCUUCUUUUACUAAUAGAUAAAGAAAGAAGGACUCUACCAAAGGUUAUAUGAUUAAGACCAAUGUGAAGAUAUUUAGGAAAAACAUGGUCUUGUAGGGCUAGGUCUAAACCAGAAUUUAUAGAAAGAUUAAAAGAUUCCCUAGGUGUAGCUAAAAGUGCAUUAUCUUCUUGAUUAAAAGAUAGGACCUCGGCUAUAGAAAAGGGUUGGUUUUGACCUAUUGUAAUCAACUCCGGACACAGAUCAUAAUUAGGGGCAGGACAUGUUGACUCCCAUGGUCUAUGGCUGGUCUCCAAAGGUGCAAAGAAUUCUAUUAUAGGUAUGGAAUUUGAGUUAUCCAUAAAGAUAAAAAGAUAAAAGAAUAAAAGUAUAAAAAUAUAAUACAAGAUAAUAGCAAGACUCAAAGUUAUCUCAGCAAACCGUCUUUCUCCCCGGCAACGGCGCCAGAAAUGCUUGUUAAUAUAUGGUAACGCAAUAAGGAAAUGAUCCGCAAGCGCACGGAUAUCGGUGAGCAUUUCACCCGGGAGGUUAUCCAGAGUUAUCGUAUUUAUAUUUUUACCACUGGGAGAAAGGGUGCAUCAGACUAACCAAAUCUAUUGCUACUAUCCCUUUAGGCUACAAAGAAUGUUUCUCGAUGUGAGCGAUGUAUAGAGAAGACUGCAACCGUAGUCUCGUUCUAACCUUGGUAAGGAUGAUCUACUGUUCUAUUGGGGAGGCUCACGGAAUCUAGACAACACAAAGGAUGUUUGACCCGCACCUAUAAACCUACCCGUCCUGCUAACAAGAUAUGGGAUACAAAGGUAACUCAGAAAUGUCACGUUCCUCGCUACUACCACGGUCCUGCUAGUCAGGGGAUAUCUAUGAGUACCCUAGCCUAAACACCACGUUUACGCUAGCAAUGAUUACUCUAAUACUCAACCGGAAGAGGAUUAAAGUAAACUCAUAAACCAAAGAACAAUAAAACAAGAACUUACACGAAUUAGAAGUCGAAUUACUGAAGAAUCUUAGAAGCAAGCCUCAGGUUAGGAGACUUGAUCCCGCAGGUACAACUCGGAGUAGACACCGACAGGCCGGCCUUCCUCCGAUCUACACCUCCACUCUAUCUCUCUCAAUCUAGUAGAAACUAGAAGAUCUAUUUCUACUUACAUUGGUUGCUAAGCCUAAAAAGAAAUAUUAUUUAGAGAAGAGGUUUUCCUUCGAGGGCACUCCUCAAUCUCUAUGAUAACUUCUUGUCUUCUCCAGGGGCCAGGGGGGUCUCCUUAUAUAGUCCUCCUCCUCUAUGCGUUUUUGGGUCGGUAGGCGAGGCGGUACUAUGUUUUCCUUGAAACAAUAGGUCGGUGGAACGUCGUGUGCGAAGAGAGUCCCGAAGGGCUUCCAGAGGUGGGCGGGCGCCCAAGUCACCAGGGCGGGCGCCCUGGGCCUGGCCCCUUUCGGCCUCCGCUUCCUUCCCGUGGCUUCUGGAGUCUUCUAGAUGGUAGAAAAUUGCGCGGUGCGUUGAUAUCUCUAUGUAAUCCCGACAUGUGGGCCUUUCUUCCUUAUUUCCUGAUAACCCCCUGCAGAAAUAGGCAAACACCAAAACUCAUGGAAUUCUGUCAGAUAAAACCCUAAGUCUAGAUGUUGAUUUCAUUUGGAUCCUUUUCUUUGUUUAUUUGAUAAUUAAAUUUGAUACUUAAGGACCGUCAACAUCCAGAAGCCACGGGAAUGAACGAGAAGACGAUCGGGCUCGGGGGCAGGGCGCCCGCCGACCCCCCUUGGGCGCUGCCCAGGGUUAGAGUCCAAUCAGGACUCUCUUUCGGGACUAAACUCCACCGACCUAAAGGAUGAAUCUAAACCAUACAAUCAAUGUCGGUUUGAUCCAACGGCCCAAAUUCACUUGAAAGGACUAUAUAACCAAGGCCUCUCCACCCCUAGAGAGACGAGAAGAGAAGAAAUCAUUAUUCAGAGGUAGCCAUCAAAGUUAGGUUUUAGAGCUUCUCUCCCAUAGAGAAUUAGAAUUAGCUACUCCCUAAUCCUUCAAGUUUAGAGGUUUGAUUAGAUAGCAAUUAGAGAAGUAGAGCACUACGCUCUGGAUUCGGAUCUUCGGUAAUAAAGUUUGGUAUUAUUCAUAUCUUUCUCUAAUACUUUGUUCUAAUUACAUUAUGUCUUUAUUUAUUAUGUUCUCAAUUUGCUCUAGUUCUAUAUUUGAUAUAGUUAUGAUUGAUAAUGAGUUUAUGUAUAAGUUUGCAAAGCGCUUAGCUCUUGACGCGAGGGAGUUAAGUGGUAGAUCACAUGUGGGCGUGGUGCGUAGAUGUUAUUUACCUGCAAAUGUAUCCUAUUGGCCGGGUCGUGUGGUAGUUCGCGAUAGUGACAACUUUGUUGAUUCUUAUAUAGUCCACCCUCCGUCGAUAGGACAGGCAGAACUUGUAUUGCGGAGUAAGUCUUGCGAUGUUCUGAUUUACUUUAGCAAUGUUCCUUAUACAUAAAUGAAGAGUCUUUUAUGCUAUAUAUGAUCUUGUAGAUAACUAGAGUAGAUUAUGACUUAGUAGAUAGUAGAUAACUUAGAAUGCAUUCUCUAGCUAAUCUGACGUCACCUACAUAUAUGAGGAGUAGUCUAUUUUCAAAUCGCUGUGUUAUUUACCCUUGAACUUAUAAUUCAUUAUCAUUAUCUUUAUGGUUUGCCCCCUGCCAAAGUAAGUGACUGUGUGACGAGUUUCUCAUUAGUAAUCAUGUUCUUGCCAGUUUAUCUCUAGUCUAUGCCUUGAUAGAUUUUACCCUUAUUUUAAUUUCAUCCCUUUUGUUCUCUUAGGCAAAAUUAUAAAUAACGAUACCUGGAAUACUUAUCCUGGUGAAAUGCUACAAUGAGGUAUUUUAUCUGUGCGCUUGCGGAUAGAAUAGAUUAUUUUCUAGAGAGCCUUUAUAUUUAUAAAUACCUUUGUACACUCUGGCACCAUGCUGGGGAUGACAACCUAGUAUCUAUGUGGUGUUAGCUAGUGUCAACAAAGGGGUGAUAUCAAGGAGUAAGUAUGCAUCAACGGUGUUAAGCACUUCCUAUCACUUAAAUGCAACAAAGUAGAACAAGCAUAAUAUAACAAUUAAGUUAGCGAGAAUAGGGAGGCUUAGAAUGCUCCGGGGCUUGUCUUUCUCAAACGUGCUCGGCUUGUGGUCCGGGCACUCCUACAACUCUUCUCCGGGCUCUGGUCCUCCCAGAAGUUCCUGCUCCUGGGUCUCCUCCUGCUCCUCGGGUCCCACCUCGUUCUCCUGCAAGCCUGUAUGAUGCAUGUGUGCUCAUGAGUGGAGUACGAGAUGCCCGGGGUGCAAUGCUUAUGCAAGUGGGUACCAGAUGACCAUGACAUGGUGCAUAGAUGACAUAGGUGGUAAUUUUUACAAGGUAGUCAACAUCAUCUAAGAACAUGUAAUCAAUUUAAGCAUCUAUUGCAUUCUCUUCUACAAGUUGCCUUCAUGGUUAACCAGCAAGCUAACAUGAUGCUUCAAAGAUACACCAAACACCCUUUUAUUCUAUUUAAUUUUAUGCACAACAAUGCAUAAUUUAUUUAAUCAUUAUUGGACUUACAAAAGUAGCAUAUGUUUCUGUUUACCAAUGAAUUCCACAAAAAUUACAGUGGAACACUAGUCAACCAUAAAGUCUACCAUAAAUUCUCAUAAUAUUUGGACAUUUAUUUUGGGCUACAAAAAUUACAAUAUUACUCCAUAUAUUUAAGCAUAAAUACCCUACUGUUGUCUAAGUGUCAAACAGCAGAUUUCAUAUUUUUAUAAAUUACUUGUUAACAUAUGGAACACCCACAAAAAUUUCUAGAUUAAUUGCAUGAUUCAAUUAUUUAUUAAGAAUCAUAAACCACUGCCAAGCAAGCAUUUAAAUCAUCAUAAAUCAAUUUAUACAGAAAAUAAUAUGUGACAUAUUUUUCCCAGAGGCCAAUCAUCCAUGCAGAGCCAACAAAACAAGUCUCAUAUUUUUCUGAGUUAUAUUUUAAUUACUAUGCAUUUUCCAAUUUUCAGCAAAAACAUAGAUUAAAUAUAUUUGUACAGAAAAGUUGUUUAAACAUGACAUGCAACCACACCAAACUGUAGAUCUAGAAUUAUAGAACACACUACAAUUUAUUUCACCAUUUUUGGAGCCCUGGAUCUCAAGAUGUAGAUUUAAUACCAUUUAAACUAUUUUCUGGAAAUUAUUUUCUGAAAACCAAUUCAAAUCCGGAACGAAAAACACUAAAGACGCCCGGAUCUCUACCCGCCUCGGUCCGCCUGCGGCUGACAGUGGGUCCCCUACCCCACUAGUUAGCGUGACCGAGAGGGAGAGCACCUCCGACGAGCGGAUCUCGUCGGCGGUGAGGUCUCCGGCCACGGGGUGAGCACCAACGUGUUCCCCGCAGCGAGGCGAACCUAAGGGUGCCCUUGGUUCGGCCGGAGGACGACCGGAGCACCCCCGCUGGCGUGCAUGGCGGCACGGCGGCGCUGCUCGCUGUGGCCAGGCCACUCCGGUGGAGUAGAGCGCGCACGGGGUACCAUCGAAGCUUCCUCGUCAUGCUAUGAACCUAACGCGCUCAAGAUCAAGCGAAACGGGCAGAAACGAGAAGGUUUCGACACGGCGGAGCUCUCCAACGAGGUCGUGCUAACUCCGGCGAGAGAUUGCGGGUUCGCGGAGGGUUUUCACCUUGGUAGAGCGCGCGCAGGAGCUUACCGCGGCGAAGGCGAACACAACGGUGGUCUUGGCACAGAGAAUGGGCCACUAGCGCGGCCUGCGGCGAGCGGCGGAGCUUCGGCCGGCAAUGGCGCCGCGGCGGUCACUGCUGCUGCGGCUGCGCUCGCGAGCGGAGAAGGAGAGGGAGCGGGGGAGGGGACGGAAUGGUGUCUAGGGGCGCGGGGUGCCGUGCCGACCGGGGUAAGCCGGUCGGCUAGCGGCGCAUCCACGACGCCGGCGUACGGCCGUAACGUGGCCGGCGUCAGGUGGAGCAAGGCGGGCGCCCGCGCGCGGGAGAGAGGGGAGGGGAGGCCGGGCCGCACGGCUUGGCUGGGCCGAAAGGGAGGCGGUCGGCCCAGCAGCGCCUGCCCCCUUUUUCUUUUUUUUGAAUUUCUUUUCUCCAAAAAGCUCAAAUAUGAUUUUUGAAGCCUUUGCAAAUCAUUUCAGGGGUUGGAGUAAAAAGAAGAAAGGUUCCUCACAAAAUUCCCUACAACUUUGCUUUAACAUGCAAAUUCAAAUUCCAAACAGAAUUUGAAUCACACACCAAAACUAGUUCUAGGUUUUCAAUUAAAAUUCAUUUUAUGGAAUUUUGUAUAAAUUCCAUUUCUCAAUUUCCAUAGCUCCAAAAAUUUCACAAAAUUACUCCUAAUUCUUCCAACACCUAUUUCAACUUGUUUUAGGCAUCACAAGAGUUUUUGAACAAGCAUACUAUUUCUAUCAUAUUUAAUUCAUAUGAAAUAAGCACAUAAAAUCACACUUGAAUGAAUGGCUUGCUCAUGUGAUGCUAUGCUUGAUGAGAAUGCUUAUGGAUGAGUCUAUGGCACUAAGUGCAUGCUUAACACCUAGGGUGUUACAGCCCUUCCCCUUAGGGAAAUCUAGUCCCGAGAUUUUGGGUUACUAACCAUUUCUUAUGAAAUUUUGGGUAAACUUUUUUUAGGUAAUCCUCGGUUUCCCAGGUGGCAUCUCUAUCAUUGUGAUGACUCCACACCACCUUGUAAGUCUUGACAACUCUAUUCCAGGUUACCCGCUCUUUGGUAUCUACGAUACCCACCGGUUGUUCUUUAUACUCUAAGUCUGCCUUUAUCUUGAUUCCUCGAGGUUCGAUCCUUUGCUCAGGCACUUUCAAACAUUUUCGUAGCUGUGACACAUGGAAAACUGGAAAGAUUGAGCUCAACUCCUCUGGUAACUGAAUCUUGUAGGCCAUAGGACCCUUCCUUUCUAGUAUCUUAUACGGUCCCACAUAUCUAGGUGCAAGCUUGUUUCGAACUCAGAAACGCUGAACCUUCUUCAUUGGCGUAACCUUGAGGUAAACAUAGUCACCUACUUUAAACUCGAGUGGCCUUCUUCGCUUGUUGGCAUAACUCUUCUGUCGUGAUUGUGCUGCUCUCAUAUGUUGUUGUAUAAUUUGUACUUUCUUCUCGGCAUCAUUCACGAAGUCGAUACCAUAGUAUCUCCUUUCACCCGGUUCGAUCCAAUUUAACGAAGUUCUACACUUACGACCAUACAACGCUUCGAACAGAACCAUCUUGAUACUUUCUUGAUAGCUAUUAUUGUACGAGAAUUCGGCCAAAGGUAACCAUGAUUCCCAUGAUCCCUUGGAUGAUAACACACAAGCCCUCAGCAUAUCUUCAAGCACUUGAUUGAGUCUUUCCGUUUGACCCGAGGUUUGGGGAUAAUACGCUGUGCUUCUUAUCAGACUAGUCCCCAAACUCUUAUGCAUUCGUUCCCAGAAAUGAGCGGUGAACUGCGGUCCUCUGUCUGAUAUGAUGGUCUUGGGAAUACCAUGCAACUUAACAAUCUCAGCGAUAUAUAUAUCAGCAUACUCGGGAGGUCUGUACGUGUUCUUAACUGGAAUGAAAUGAGCCGACUUGGUCAAUCGAUCUAUGAUUACCCAAAUCGAGCCAUUCCCUUUCGUGUUGUUGGCAAACCUGUGAUAAAGUCCAUGUUGACCUCUUCCCACUUCCACUCUGGGACUGACAACGGUUGCAACAGACCUACAGGUUUUAUAUGUAUAGCCUUGACUCUGCAACAUGUGUCACAACGGGUCACAUAUGCUGCUAUCUCUUUCUUCAUUUUGGUCCACCAAAAGUGAGACCUUAGAUCUUGGUACAUCUUACUACUGCAAGGAUGGAUAGUAUGUUUUGAGAGAUGCGCUUCAUCCAUCAUGCGAUUCUUUAGUUCUCGAUUUUUUGGAACUACUAACCGGUGCUGAAACCACAAUACACCCUUCUCAUCAACUCGGAAUUGAGUCUUUGGAUCGUCUUUGAUCUUCUCUUUGAUGUGGAAAAUACCCUUGUCUAUUUUUUGACUUUCGAUGACUUGACUUUCAAGUGAACAACUGAGCUGUAUGUGACAUAAGACUUCAGGAUGCAUGAGAUUGAAACCAUCUUCAAACAAAGAUUGAACUACUUGAUAGUUUGGUUUGCGACUUAAGGCGUCUGCUACCACAUUAGCCUUGCCUGGAUGAUAGUGGACCUCCAGAUCGUAAUCCUUGAUCAGUUCUAACCAUCUUCGUUGCCUCAUAUUUAGUUCGGACUGAGUGAAGAUGUACUUCACACUUUUAUGAUCUGUGUAGAUAUGGCACUUGUUUCCUAACAAAUAUUGCCUCCAGAUCUUCAAAGCAUGCACUACUACUUCUAGCUCAAGGUCAUGAGUUGGGUAGUUGACUUCGGGCCUUCUUAGCUGUCAUGAAGCAUAAGCUAUAACUCUGCCGUCUUGCAUCAGCACACAUCCUAAACCACUUUUCAAUGCGUCGCAAAACACAUCAAAAGGCUUCUCGAUAUUGGGUUGCACCAGAACUGGAGCGGUGGUCAGCAACUUUUGCAAGGUGCGGAAGGCUAGUUCACACCCUUCGGUCCAGACAAACUUAUGAUCCUUUUGUAGUAAAUUGGUCAUUGGCUUAGCAAUCUUGGAGAAGUCAGGUAUGAAACGGCGGUAGUACCCGGCUAGGCCAAGAAAGCUUCGAACUUCCUAGACAGAAGUUGGUGCCUUCCAGUCCAUGACUUCCUGUACCUUUGACGGAUCCACAGCAAUCCCUUCUUCAGAUAGAAUGUGCCCUAGGAAAGGAACUUUCUUCAGCCAGAACUCACACUUGCUGAACUUUGCAUACAACUCAUGCUUUCGCAGUCGUGUUAGCACGACUCUUAGAUGCUUGGCGUGAUCUUGCUCAUUCUCUGAAUUGACUAGAAUGUCAUCGAUGAACACCACAACAAACUUGUCUAACUCUGGCAUAAAGACUGAGUUCAUUAGAUACAUAAAGUAUGCAGGAGCAUUUGACAACACAAAGGACAUGACAAGAUACUCAUACAACCCAUAUCUGGUAGAAAAAGCAGUCUUCGGGAUAUCUUAUGGAUGGAUCUUGAUUUGGUGAUACCCGGACCUCAAAUCUAUCUUGGAAAACACUUUUGCCUUGGACAACUGAUCAAACAAGAUGUCAAUCCUUGGCAACGGAUACUUAUUCUUAAUAGUUACCGCAUUGAGUGGACGAUAGUCCACGCACAUGCGUAGUGAUUUAUCCUUCUUUUUCACAAACAACACCGAACAACCCCAUUCUGACGAACUUGGCCGGAUGAACCCUUUAUCCAGCAACUCCUUUAGUUGAUUCUUCAACUUAGCGAGCUCAUUAGGCGGCAUCCGGUACGAUCUUCUAGAGAUUGGUGCGGUACCUGGUAUCAGCUCUAUUGCAAACUCCACUUCCUAUCUGCGGGAAGUCCUGGCAAUUCCUCUGGAAAAAUAUUAGGGAACUCACAUACCACUAGGAUCUGUGGCAGAGGAACCACGUGUGUAGCACAAGAGAUGCUAGCAAAGUCAAAAGCGACGGGGCAGAGGUACUUGAAAAGAUCCACUACCCUGAGGUUCUCUGAUAGAUAACACCCUUUUCCCAGUAUCUAUGACAGCAUUCCACUCUUUCAUCCAGUUCAUGCCCAUGAUAACAUCCAAAACUAACCCAGGCAUGACUACUAGAUUAACUCGAAACACCCUGUUACUAUAUAUCUAGGGUUGCCCCUCGGACCACUCUAUUUGUCAACACAUCUGCCCCUGCUGAGCUGAUGCGAUAACCAUAACCCAAAUCUGUAACUGCUUGGUCAUGCUUUUGUGCAAAUGCUUGGCUCAUGAAUGAAUGCGAUGAUCCAGAAUCAAACAAAACAACUACGAGAUGUUGGUUGACAAGAAACAUACCAGCUGUUACCGGUUCUCCUUCCGGGAUCUCCUCUAUCGAGGUAUGGUGCACCCGAGCCGGGUAAGUUGACUGCUACUUCUUGGGGUAGGGACAUUCCUUAGCGAAGUGCCCUAUCUUGUGGCAGUUAUAGCAUAGUCCCUUAGUCAUGUUGUUGGCAGCAGGUGCUGCAGCUUGAAUUGCCUUCGGCUUGGUGGGGGCUAUAGCUACAUUGUACGGCUUCUGCUGCGCUGGAUGCCCUGUGCUCCUCCUCUACAGCGGUCGGAACCUAGCACCUGGGGCAAGAGGACGAUACUGCUGUCGCCCUGCCACCGGUGCCCUAGACUAAGAUGACCCGGCUUCAAAAGCCCUCUUGUGAGACUUGGAUGCACUAUAGUUGUUGUUAUUAUUCUCCUGGUACAAACAGUCACUGAUGUAAGCAUUGAAAGUAGCCCGGGUCCCUGUACCCAUGGUCUUCAGCAUCUUUGGGCUCAAGCCUCUCUGGAAACUAGCGAUCUUCUUGGCCUCUGUGUUCACAAACUCGGGAGCGUAACGGGCGAGAUUGUUGAAAGCGUGCAGAUACUCCUUCACAGACUUCGUUCCCUGGGACAGCCUCAUGAACUCUCCAACCUUCAUUUCCACCACACCCGGAGGAAUAUAAUUUCCACGAAAGGCGGUGGUGAAGCGGUUCCAGGUGAUUGGAGUCCCCUCUGGGUAGGUGGUACGAUGAUGGGACCACCAAAUCCCAGCAGGCCCCUGCAACUGAUGUGCUGCAUACUCGGCCUUGAGCUCUUCGGUCAUCCGAAGGAGACAGAACUUUUGCUCCAUGGUGUUGAUCCACUCAUCUGCCUCGAGCGGUUCCAAGACCUCCUUAAAGAUCGAUGGUUUAGUGUCCAUGAGGUCCUUGAAAGAGCUGUACUGAUUGAAUUCACGACCGCCCUGGUUAUCCCCACGGCGGGUGUUGUCAGCGAUAUUGCGCAGGGCUUCUUCCAUGUUGCGCUGCAUCUGCUCCAUGUUGCAUUGGCUCCCCAGAAACUGCGUGAAAAACACGUCUGCAGUGUACGGAGGAGGGGGUGGUGGUGGCGGUGAUGGUGCUCUCUCCUCAUUCCUUUGAGCUCCACUUCCGGAAGUACCUGCUCCAAGACCAGGGUUGCUAUUACCCCCGCCACGUGUUUGCACCAUCUACAUGCGUCAAUGAUAAGCAGUCGUUAGGAGUUGCCAUCAACGGUAGACAUAUGUAGAAGUAUGCCGUACUAAAUUUACUGAGGAAAAUAAAUUCACACAAUAAACAGAGGCACAACAAUUCAUCAUCCACACACAACAUCACUAACGGAUUACUUAACAUUCGAGCAACAAGGUUCGCAUACAUCCAAAAUUGCCAGCAUACAUACACUGGACUUUCAGCGUCAUCACAUAAAGUUUCACACAUCCAAGAUCCAACAGAUUACAAGACAUGCCAUGCAACAACAACAUCAAAAGAAGAAGGACUAGCUCUAUAGCCCUAGCAUCUACUCGCUAUGCUCACUGUCCAUGCCGGAGCCCUCCUCGUCCUCAUCUCCACUAGCAGCUGCCUCCAACUCUGGAUCCUCAUCCAUCUCGUCCUCAUAAUCUAACUCAGCUGCUCCAGGCAGGUGCUGAGGGUGGAGCUGGUUAUGCAGCUGGUGGAUCUCCUCAUGUAGGUUCUCAUUGUACUCCUCAGCAUUAGCUAGCUGCUGCUCUAGCUCUAGCUAUCGGGCCCUCAGGGUGUCCUCCUCGUACCAGGCUUCAUUCCACUGACCAAGCACAUGAACUAGCAUGCGCUCGCAGUUCCUGUGAGCGGUGGUCACCCUGUCCCUCUGCUCCCUCACUGCGAGCAGGUCCUGACUCAACUCGCUGUUCUUCUAGACUGCCUGAUCCCACUCGUGGGUCAUGCGGGCCAACUCUGCCUGCAACCUCUCAACCUCAGUGUCAAACUCACGCUGCAACUAGCGCUUCUCAUCCUGAACUGUGAGAAGAGACCCGGACAAGCGUCCCAAACAAUGCUCCAGACCCCCAUAGGUCUUCAUCAAGGCGAACAUAGCACUCAUAGCUGCGCUGUCACUGUGCUGGUCCUCGUCCGCACUCCUCUCUAGAGCAUUCACCUCGGACUGAUCCCACAUCGACGUGUAGGGGUCACCCCGGGGAAACACCCCAGCGAAGGCGUGGGCCAGCUCCUGUGGAAACCGUUCCAUGAUGUCCCUCAGAACAGCAAAAGCUGCCCUGCUGGCACCCUGGAAAGGCAUGGUACCUCUGGACUCGUACACCCAGCCACCCCAGGUGGGGUCACCUCCACUGGUAGGGACCACUGUCUCGAUCCCCACCAGGGUCCCGUCACCAAGCUGCUCCUUGUUCUAAUAGUAGCGAGGUUCCCUUCCUUCGGGAUACCCCAUCGAAGUGAGCACCCUCCAAAGCAAGGUGGGCAUCCCAAACUCCUCUAGGAACUUUCUCUUAUGACGCGAGCUCCUAGCUGCCAACUGAAUGCGAGGGGCUCACCCACCAGUGGACUUGCAGGCGGUGAGCCUAGUGCGUGCCAUGUGCUGCAAAUAGAAUACCUUGGGUAAGACUGAGGAUUAUCUUUUAUUAUUUAAAAUUGGGACAGAUUUAAUUAAGGGGAGGAAGUAAGAAAUGAUAUGGAAUGAACAUGAUGCAACGAACUUACGAUCUCACAAACUUAGAAAAGAAAGUUAAUACUAAUCGGUAUAUGCGGUGGCACACAGCGUUCUCUCAUAACGUAACUAGCGUUCUAGGCGAGAACGUGGUUAGCGUACUUGCAGAAAACUCAUUUCAGCCCAACCACAGUAUGAACAUGAAAAACAAAAAUUUAAAGCUAUACACCCCACACACAUAGACACCACAUCCAUGCAUAUGGCGUGUUACUACCCACAUCAUCGCCUUAGUGACGGCAUCGCCUCUCAGGACGGAAUAUCCCAACAUGCGGUACUGUUCCCAGGCACACCAAACAUGUGUGCAUGACGCUGUUGAUGGUCCUUAAGUAUCAAAUUUAAUUAUCAAAUAAACAAAGAAAAGGAUCCAAAUGAAAUCAACAUCCAGACUUAGGGUUUUAUCUGACAGAAUUCCACGAGUUUUGGUGUUUGUCUAUUUCUGCAGGGGGUUAUCAGGAAAUAUGGAAGAAAGGCCCACACGUCGAGAUUACAUAGAGAUAUCAACGUGCCUCGCAAUUAUCUUACAUCUAGAAGACUCCAGAAGCCACGGGAAGGAAGCGGAGGCCGAACGGGACCAGGCAGUGAGCGCCCGCCCCCUCCUGGAGUCCAAACAGGACUCUCUUUCGGGACUAAUCUCCACCGACCUAAAGGAUCAAGGAUAACCAUUCAAUCAAUGUCGGUUUGAUCCAACGGCCCAUAUUCACUUGAAGGGACUAUAAAACCAGACCCCCUGGCCCCUGGAGGAGAGAGCCUCUCAACCCUAAUUCAUUAUUCCUCAAGGGAGAAGAAGCCUCUGAUCAAGAUUAGAGCCACCACAUCAAUUAGACAUCUAGAUUAGCAUAGCUACAUAGGAUUAGAACUAGAAGGAGUCAAUCUUCGAUUGGUUUCCGAAUCUGUCAAGAGGAUUCUUGGUAAUUCUCUAAUUAUUUUCUAAUCAUCUUUGUUCUUUAAUAUUAUGAAUAUGACUUUGUUCUACUUCAAUAUAUUGCUUAUGACUUUGCUCUACUUGUUUAUAUUCAAGAUUAUAUUGUUAUUAGUCUAUCAUGGUUAUAUACUUGGCUUAGUUAGAUUGGAUUUAUAUACAUUCUUAGGAUUGUAUAGCGUUUAUCCAUUGGAUCCAUGGGUAAAUGAUAGAUAUUGUGUAGGCGUGGUGCUUAUACCGUAUUUAUCUGCGAUUGUACCCAAUAUACCAGAUCGUGGGGUAGUUCAUGAUAGUGACAGCUUCAUUGAUUCUUAUAUAGUCCCCCUCUCGUAUAUUGGGCUGGCAGAGCAACAUUCUUAUAGGGGAGUGAUUGCUAUGUUUCUCAUUUACCUUGCUAAUAUCACUAUGCAUGGGCGUAGUCUUGUCUCGCAAUGAUUGCUAAGUAUGCUUGCACUAACUACGAUAAUGCUAGACUAUAUAGUUGAGAAUAACUUAGGAAAUAUUCUUGUAGUUCGUUCUAAUUCCAUGCCAAUGACUUUCUAGAGUAUCUAAUUGAGGUGCUUAUCAUAUUUAUAUGUGUCUAGUUAUGCUGAUUAGAUUAAUUAUCCUUGUCACUAUUCAUUAUUUCAUAUAUCUUUUAUGUGACACUUAUCCGUAUAUGAAAGAGUUAGAUAAAUGUUCUCAAUUAUACAUGCAAUGAUAGAUACUCAAUCUCAUAUUCUAUUCUGUAAUCAAUAUUGAUGGUUGUUAAUCUCUUCCCAGUGGUAAAAAUAUAAAUAACGAUACCUGGAAUACUUCUCGGUUCAAAUGCUACAUCAGUAUUAAUCUGUGCGCUUGCAGAUCCCAUUCAUUAUUUAUUUAGAAGAGCAAUUGCAUAUUUCAAUACCGCGUCUCUCAUGUCAUGCUAGGGAUGACAACUUGGCUUAAGUUGUAUGAGGGAUAGGUUUGGCAUUUUUGGUCAGAUUUAGAAAACUAAGUCUACUUUUGGUAAUGAUGUUAAGAAUACCUAGCAAACAUUUUUGGCGCUGUUGCCGUUGAAGGUUGAUUACUAAUCAAGAAUGAAUAAAGGAUUUUGAGUUAUCAUUCGCAUCACUAAUAUGAUUGAGCUUAUCUAUUCUCUCAUACAGUUUUACCCCGAUAUUUUCCAUUUUAUCUUAUGCAGGGUAAUGUAUGAAUAGAAGACAUCUUCUAGGAAAUUUUGUUGACAAUCCCAAAGCAUUAUUCAGAAAAACAAGAACCAAGCUCAAGAAGAGAUCAUCAACACUUCAGCAGGAAGCUUCAUCCAAUCAAGAAGAUAACCAAAACUUGUCUUCAGAGUUUGAAGCCAUGGCGAACAAAUCAAUCCGCGAGUUCUCAGCUCCCACUAUGGACAACAUCCGCACUGGACCUGCUGCAGAGAUCAACGACAACUUUGAGCUCAAGCCUGGACUUAUCAACAUGGUGGAAUCCAACCAGUUCUGUGGGAAGGCACAUGAAGAUGCUAGUGCUCAUCUCCAACACUUCCUAGAGAUAUGCAGCACAUUCACCAUAUCAGGAGUCCCCAGAGAUGCUAUACUACUUCGCCUCUUCCCAUUCUCACUGUUGGGGAGAGCGAAGCAGUGGUUCUACGCUACAAAGGAGAAAAAUACUACGUGGGCACUCUGCUCUAUGAACUUUCUGGCUAAGUUCUUUCCUAUGGGCAAGACCAAUGCUCUCCGUGGGAAGAUUAUAAGUUUUCAGCAACAAAAUGAUGAAUCUGUUCCAGAAGCAUGAGAGCGCUUCCAAGACUACAUCCUAGAAUGUCCCCAUCAUGGAAUGGAGAAUUGGCUACUGAUGCAGAUGUUUUAUCAUGGGCUCGGCAAUAGUGCCCGAGAGACCAGGGAUGCUGCAGCUGGAGGAGCAUUCCUAUCACUUACCAUAUCACAUGCCACAGCUCUUGUGGAGAAGAUGGCGUCCAACCAAAGCUGGAAUGAAGAAAGGACCCAGACACGCAAGAGAGGUCGAGGUAUGCAUCAGCUCAAGGAGGUAGACAUGCUGUCUGCAAAGUUAGACCUGCUCAUGAAGAAACUCGAUGAUAGAGCUGGAGAUAAGAAAGAAGUUAUGCACAUCUAUGACUCUCACAUGACUUGUGAGGAGUGUGGAGAUACUGGACACUCAGGCAAUCACUGCCCUGAGAUGCUUGAGGAUGUGAACUACAACAACUACUACUACUACUACAACCGUCCUCAACAAAAUCAAGGUUGGAAUCAACAGAGGCCUAACUACUCAGGUAAUUAUCAAGGUAAUAAUUCUUAAAAUAAUAAUAAUAAUUUUCCACCUUUGAGAGAGUUAGUGUCUAAUCAAGGAAAGCUAAUGGAUAACCUAUCUAAGAAAUUGGCAUCUAAUGAUAAAAUCCUAGAAAAUAUCAAUAAUAGAAUGGAUAAUUUCUCUACUGCCAUCAAGAAUCAAAUUAGCUUUAAUAAAAUGAUUGAAUCUUAGUUAAAUCAAAUAGCUGCUGCUAUUCCUACUACUAACCCCGGUAUACCAUCACAACCAGAAGGAUUAGAAUCUACAAAUCUUGUAGACUUGUUUGAUGCAGGUAAUUGGAGUAACCCCGUCAAUGAAUUCACUACUAACCUUUUGCCGGUCAAGAGAGGCGAUCUAGGACGCCCCGUCAUCCCGAUCUCCAUCGGCAUGGUGGACGUUCCAGAAGCACUCUGCGACUUUGGCUCUAGUGUCAACUUUAUACCUAGGGUACUCUAUGAAAAAUUCUUUACAUAUCCUUUAUUAGAAACAACCAUGUGUUUGCAGUUUGCAGAUCAGGCGAUAAGUUUCCCAAAAGGAAUAUUGAAGAACCUUUGUGUCCGAGUUGGUACCUUAUAUGCCCUAGCAGACUUCGUGGUGAUAGAGACCGGUAAUGAUGAGAGAGCACCUAUCAUCUUAGGGAGGCCAUUCUUGAACACCUCGGGAGCUGUCAUCUACGCUAGUGCUACCAAGAUCAGUUUCUACAUCAAAGAGAGGAAUGAGACAUUUUCCUUCAAGAACAAGAUACACAAAUUCCAGAUCCAUCCAGACGAGAACCAAGGAAGAGGACCAACAGGAGGAAUAGGAACAAGCAAGUGUGGACCGAGUCAGCUAAUAUGGUCACUGCAGUUCAUGGAGGUCAAGAUCACCAACUAAAAUCACCGUUUUUGACCAAGAAGGAUGACCCAGGAAUGCCAAGCAUCUAUUGCUCCAUGAAUGGAUACAACUUCUACAAGACGACUUGCGACACCGGAUCGGGCGUCAACAUAAUGGCCGCAGUCACCUAUCGGCUCUUGUUCGGAACCAUGCCCCUAAAACCAACAUACAUUCAACUCCAAAUGGCAGAUCAGACAUUUCGAGAGGUUAAAGGAAUAGUAACUGAUGUCCCAGUCAAAAUAGACGAUCAUUUUGUCUACAUAGGCUUUCAAGUUAUUGACAUGGGAGAAGACGAGUACAAUCCACCCAUCAUCCUUAGAAGACCGUUCCUCAGCACCAUUAAAGCAAUCAUCUACAUUGGUACUGGAGAAGUCCAUAUGCACUUCGCCUCAGAAAAGGUACGCCGCUAUUUUACUGACCCUAACUAUAUCGUUGAAGACUCUAAGCAGAUCAGAAAACGACGCAACCGCAACCAGAGGAGGGAAAUCAUCAAGGACGGAUGGGCAGACUACGAAGGAGAAGUAGUAAGAUCAGAAGACAUAAAGUUUAAACAGAACUAUCCUGAGGAGACCGUAGCACCGAGUCAGGUGUGGAAAGAGAUGAUAACUAUACAUGAAGAGGAGGCGUCGCCGGAAGUACCGACUCCGCCACCCAACGAAUCCCAGGACAACUGAGAAAACGGAGAGUCCCGUUCGGAGGACUUAAAAACACUGAAUGCCUUGCCAAGAGGUAAACUUGGUAGUUAUCAUUUUCCUUUCAAUUAUUUAAAAUAGUUUACUUAGUUAAUCAUGUUCAUACUAUCCUAAAAAGAAAAUAAAAAUGUUAAAAACAGUAAGCCCCAUGUGAGUAUACGAUUGGCAUGAAACCCAUAAGUACAUUCACUGUGGUGGCAUAAAAAUAAAAUAAAUAUUUCAUUUCUGCUUUAUAAAAUGAAAAUAUAAAAAUAGAGAGUGAUAUUUAUUGAGGAGUCUCAACAUGAUAAAGGCUAGAUAUUUAUGCUAACACUUAAUCAAGUUCCACAAAGCUUUGUUGUCUAUUUGAGCUCCACAGAAUUUAAGAAUCUAGAAGACUAGCAGACGGAGGACAUUCUAAUCGCUGUCAAGAUACUGCCGACUUUUAAAUACACCUCUGCCACCUGCUAGCUACAUCAAGGGAAAUUACGUUAAAAUUCAGCUUGGGGGAGAGCACCCCCAUUUAUCCCGCUAAGUAUUUCUAUCUAUCUUUAUACUUAUACUAUAUUAAAAUAUAAAUAUACAUAAUUAUGGAAAACCAAAUAAAGAUUUUAUGCUUAUAUAUAUCUCUUUUGCUUAGUUUGUUUAAUAAAUAAAUAAAGUGGCUAUGCUAAUCUGAAUCCUAAUAAUAAAACUCUAGCAUGGAUAUGAUGAAUAGUUGCUCUGCCUAAUUUUAAAAUUUAAAGUUCUGUCUCAAGUUUAGACAUAACUGUUAUAAUUUAAAGCUUGCUCUAAACCUGAACUUGUGGGAAGAAAACUUGAUCUGAAGUCUAAGUUGUUAACGGAUAUAAUAUGGGAAGGUUGAGCUGCUAUUUAUCUGUUCCGAGAGAUGCUAGAAUUCUGGAGAAUUUUAUCUUUGAAAAUCUUUUAAAUAUCACAUGAUGAGUUCCUGUAUGAUGAGAGUUUAAAUUCCUACCACAGCCAUAUAUACAUGCUUGCUAGACUUUGAGCCACACAUUUACUUUUUACUACUUAUGAGCAUUGAGUGUGGUCAAGCUGUGUAGACCCUUAGGAGCUUGUCAUGUGGUUAAAUCAAGAUUCACUUGCACGUUCACUCACAUAUGCUACUUCUACUCCGGAAGUACCAUCCACAUAUAUCCAUCCAUUUCCAUCUCCAGAACCACCCAAAAAUAUUCUACUCCUGAUCCGGGAGAGAAUAGCCAAAAAAUAUUUCUGUUUUUCCCUUGUGAAAUAAAUGCUCAAGUUAUCUUGUUACUACCACUUGCUAUAUUAUCUUAUGAGAUGAGUGCUCUAAAAAAAAGAGAAGAGAAAAAAAAAGAUACGAGGAAAUAAAAAGGGGCAAGUGCCCGGAACCUCGAAAGAAAAGAAAAAGUGAGACGAGAGGUAAAAAUGGACAAGUGUCCGACAGUAGAAUUAGGGGUACAAAAUACCCACCUGAGAGGGAAGAAAAAAGAAAAUAUAGAGCGUCUCAUUCUCCUCACAAAGUUUCAAAAAGCAAGAAAGGUAUGUACCCCCUCAAAAGAGCAAAAGUAGAAUUAGACUUUCACCAUUAUCACCAUAUACCAUUCAUUCGCCACACAUGCACAUCUUGAUUUGACUUAUUGAUUUGUUUCUUUGGAUCCAUGGUUUGACUAUGCAAUACAUGUCUUAUGAGUAUGUAUAUUUUAUCUCCCACCUAUGAGCUCCAGAUAUUAAAGCCUUAUUAGAGUUAAAUACCACAUAUUUUGAGAGAAGGCAUAUACCAUCACUGCCUUGGUAAGGAUCCAGAAAUACCACAAAAGAGAGAUAUGAGAGAGUCAUACAAGGAAUCUCUGAGUUUUAUCUAAAAAUCUGCAAAAACUCCAGAGCUAUAGCUGAUCAAGAAUAAGAGACAUGGCACUUGGCUAGACCGUUCUAUCUUUUAACUACUCA